GGACCCGCACAAGCGGUGGAGCAUGUGGAUUAAUUCGAUACUAACCGAAGAACCUUACCCAGGUUUGACAUUGAUGGUAAGCCCGAGAGAUCGGGCCCUCCCCCACAAGGGGACCUGAAAACAGAUGUUGCAUGGCUGUCGUCAGCUCGUGCCGUGAGGUGUGCGGUUAAGUCCGUAAACGAGCGCAACCCUCGUCUUAUGUUGCCAGCGAGAAAGUCGGGAACUCAUAAGAGACCGCCGGUGUAAGCCGGAGGAAGGUGGGGAUGAUGUCAAGUCAGCAUGGCUCUUACGCCUGGGGCUUCACACAUGCUACAAUGGACGCAACAGAGGGCAGCAAUACCGCGAGGUGGAGCCAACCCCAAAAAUACGUCCCCAGUUCAGAUUGCAGUCUGCAACUCGACUGCAUGAAGGCGGAAUCGCUAGUAAACGCAGGUCAGCUAUACUGCGUUGAAUACGUUCCCGGGUCUU
rnacentral:rRNA from 1 species